AACGAACGCUGGCGGCAGGCUUCAUACAUGCAAGUCGAGCGGCAAGCCUCCUUCGGGAGGCCUAGAGCGGCGAACGGGUGAGUAACGGGUGGAUAAUCUGCCCUUCGGCGGGGGAUAACGGCUGGAAACGGCCGCUAAUACCGCAUGCGACGGUCGGGACCUCGGUCCGGGCCGGGAAAGGCGCUUUCGGGCGUCGCCGGAGGAUGAGUCCGCCUCCCAUUAGCUAGUUGGAGGGAUAACAGCCCCCCAAGGCGACGAUGGGUAGCCGAGCUGAGAGGUUGGCCGGCCACACUGGGACUGAGACACGGCCCAGACACCUACGGGUGGCAGCAGUAGGGAAUCUUGGACAAUGGGCGCAAGCCUGAUCCAGCCAUGCCGCGUGGGCGACGACGGUCUUCGGACUGUAAAGCCCUUUUCUCGGGGACGAACCCCCUCCGGAGGCAAUGCCGGGGGCUGACGGUACCCGCGGAAUAAGCCCCGGCUAACUUCGUG
rnacentral:rRNA from 1 species